GAUGAACGCUGGCGGCGUGCCUAAUACAUGCAAGUCGAGCGAACAGACGAGGAGCUUGCUCCUCUGACGUUAGCGGCGGACGGGUGAGUAACACGUGGAUAACCUACCUAUAAGACUGGGAUAACUUCGGGAAACCGGAGCUAACACCGGAUAAUAUAUUGAACCGCAUGGUUCAAUAGUGAAAGACGGUUUUGCUGUCACUUAUAGAUGGAUCCGCGCCGCAUUAGCUAGUUGGUAAGGUAACGGCUUACCAAGGCAACGAUGCGUAGCCGACCUGAGAGGGUGAUCGGCCACACUGGAACUGAGACACGGUCCAGACUCCUACGGGAGGCAGCAGUAGGGAAUCUUCGGCAAUGGGCGAAAGCCUGACGGAGCAACGCCGCGUGAGUGAUGAAGGUCUUCGGAUCGUAAAACUCUGUUAUUAGGGAAGAACAAAUGUGUAAGUAACUAUGCACGUCUUGACGGUACCUAAUCAGAAAGCCACGGCUAACUACGUG
rnacentral:rRNA from 1 species